AUUGAACGCUGGCGGCAGGCCUAACACAUGCAAGUCGAGCGGAGCGGCGGACGGGUGGGUAAUUCCUAGGAAUCUGCCUGGUAGUGGGGGAUAACGUACGGAAACGGGCGCUAAUACAGCAUACUAUCAGGUUGGCCGAGGUCGGAUUAGCUAGUUGGUGGGGUAAAGGCCUACCAAGCCGACGAUCCGUAACUGGUCUGCGAGGAUGAUCAGUCACACUGGAACUGAGACACGGUCCAGACGCCUACGGGAGGCAGCAGUGGGGAAUAUUGGACAAUGGGCGAAAGCCUGAUCCAGCCAUGCCGCGUGUGUGAAGAAGGUCUUCGGAUUGUAAAGCACUUUAAGUUGGGAGGCGUUACCAACAGAAUAAGCACCGGCUAACUUCGUGCCAGCAGCCGCGGUAAUAC
rnacentral:rRNA from 1 species